ACGCUCAAGCAGGUCACUCUUCCUGCCAUCGUUAUGGAAGUCCUGCUGACAUUCUCGGCGUUCGGAAUCCAGGCUUCCAACGGCAAACGCACAUCCCUUGCUGUGCUUCAUGGCAUACGAUUCCUGUCAAUGGCCUGGAUCAUAUUUGGACACAGUUACUUUUUUAUAGAGAGCGUCCAACCCUUUCGCGGACUGUUCAACGGUCACGAAAUGUACUCCGACAACUUUUUCUUCUCCGGCAUCAUAAACUUUACGCUGGGUGUGGACUCGUUUUUUCUGAUAAGUGGCUUACUCGUAGUGUACACUUCCUGGAGAGAGCUCGAGGAAAAUGACGGAAG